CGCUCUUCUUUAGGACUGAGAUGAAACGGGAUACUCUUGAAGAUGCAGGAGUUUAUUUGGGUGCUUUGUUCUUCUCCCUGAUCACCAUCAUGUUUAAUGGUAUGGCGGAGCUAUCCAUGACAAUUGCUAAGCUUCCUGUAUUCUACAAGCAAAGGAACCUCCUAUUCUUUCCUGCAUGGUCAUAUUCAAUUCCCUCAUGGAUCCUUAAAAUUCCUGUCACAUUUGUGGAAGUUGGCGUUUGGGUGUUCAUCACUUAUUAUGUCAUUGGAUUUGAUCCCAACGUUGG
rnacentral:misc_RNA from 1 species